CUCCAGGCCAGUUGGUGGCGGUAAUGCGCCGUUUGCCAACCGCCAAUAAACCACACAGAAGGAGAAGAGUAAACAAACACACACGGAGUAAAAGCUCAAAUGAAACGAAACUGCCCGAGCAGUUCGAAUAACGAAAAAGAAAAAGAGAUGCAGGAAAAUAUAUAGCUGCCAAACUAUUUUACCACUGCUGUUACCGGGGAUACAGUGUUGGAUGUGCCGGCUAACGUUAGCUGCGAAGUGUUUGAGGCCCCUCCAGACGACAACGCUCUUUGGUGAAACCGCACAUGUAUUGCAUCGUUUUGGCCGACCGUCCACACGGAUCCUGAAGACGCACUUUUCUGAAAUCGUCUCAGGGUGGAGAAAUCCGAAAACGCACCCCGCCGUUGUCGUGUGGACGGCGAAUCCGCAUACUUUCCGAAACGAUGACGCCAUCGCCCCACCCCGCUACCUCUGAACCCGCGAAGUCUCACAUUAACAACAACAACAAUGGCGGACUACAUGUUCGUGUUCGUGCAUGAAGAUAUUGAGCUUUUCUUGAACUUACUCGUCUUGUAGUUGAAUGUGAGUCGCAGCAGCAGUUCGACCUCAUGACCGGUCCACACAGAAGAUUCUGGUUUCCUUGCACUCGCCAUUUUCAUCUUCUUCUUGUUGUGUUCGGUUUCUCCGUUUACUGUAUGUUUGUUUACAGCGCGCAAGCUUAAUGCGCAUGCUCCGUGUCUUCUUCUCCGUGUUUUGUGAAUGUCAAGCGCCACCUACAGGCCUGGAAUAUGAACUACAGCGUUUUCGCUCGUUUUCAGUGGAUCCGUGUGGACGCAAAUAUCCUUAAAACGACGACGAUCGUUUUCGCCCGUGUGGACGGUGCCUGACGUCGACACAGACAAGGUGGAGGAGUUGUCCAGUGAUGGCCAUUUUGACAGCGAUGAUGACGAUGGUGGGGUUCUGGUGAGUCAACCUAGUUCUGCCAGUUCCAGCCCCAGCUGUGCUAAUCCUGCUGCCACCAACCAAAGCACUGUAGACUUACUAACAGAGACCCAGAAUAGAGAAGAAGAAAGAAGAAGCCCAGCCACUCACAUCUGGACAACUAGGUACAGCUUCAUACCCCACACAGAUGUCAGCAGUAUGUCUCGGACGCGUGUGAUGUGGAGAACUCUCUUCUCUUUCACUCACUCACUCAUAUUUAUAUUGAUUUUAAAAUGAAAUAAACAGUGCUGGUUAACCUGGAA